rnacentral:tRNA from 1 species
GAGGGUACAGCUCAGUGGUAGAGUGUGUGCUUAGCAUGCAUGAGGUCCUGGGUUCAAUCCCCAGUACCUCUA